GUCCCAGUUCGGAUUGUAGGCUGCAACCCGCCUACAUGAAGUUGGAAUUGCUAGUAAUCGCAGAUCAGAAUGCUGCGGUGAAUACGUUCCCGGGCCUUGUACACACCGCCCGUCACACCAUGGGAGUCGGAAAUGCCCGAAGUCGGUGACCUAACUGAAAGGAAGGAGCCGCCGAAGGCAGGUCUGGUGACUGGGGUGAAGUCGUAACAAGGUAGC
rnacentral:rRNA from 1 species